UACAAUUUAGUAUAUGAUGUACAAAAGUUUUUGAUACUUUUAGAGAUAGUUUAACUCUAUUAUUUGUAA
rnacentral:tRNA from 1 species